rnacentral:rRNA from 1 species
UGGGGAAUAUUGCACAAUGGGCGCAAGCCUGAUGCAGCCAUGCCGCGUGUGUGAAGAAGGCCUUCGGGUUGUAAAGCACUUUCAGCGGGGAGGAAGGCGAUAAGGUUAAUAACCUUGUCGAUUGACGUUACCCGCAGAAGAAGCACCGGCUAACUCCGUGCCAGCAGCCGCGGUAAUACGGAGGGUGCAAGCGUUAAUCGGAAUUACUGGGCGUAAAGCGCACGCAGGCGGUCUGUCAAAUCGGAUGUGAAAUCCCCGGGCUCAACCUGGGAACUGCAUUCGAAACUGGCAGGCUAGAGACUUGUAGAGGGGGGUAGAAUUCCAGGUGUAGCGAUGAAAUGCGUAGAGAUCUGGAGGAAUACCGGUGGCGAAGGCGGCCACCUGGACAAAGACUGACGCUCAGGUGCGAAAGAGUGGGGAGCAAACAGG